GGAGGAUUCGCCUAGUGGCCUAGGGCGCACGCCUUGGAAAGCGUGUUGGGGGCAACCCCUCACGAGUUCGAAUCUCGUAUCCUCCG
rnacentral:tRNA from 1 species